GUUUAAAUAGCUUAAAUAAUCAAAGCAGCAGUCUUGUAAACUACCGAUUAGAGAUAAUACUCUUUUAAACU
rnacentral:tRNA from 1 species